GAUGAAGAACGUAGCGAAAUGCGAUAAGUAAUGUGAAUUGCAGAAUUCAGUGAAUCAUCGAAUCUUUGAACGCACCUUGCGCUCCUUGGUACUCCGAGGAGCAUGCCUGUUUGAGUGUCAUUAAUAUAUAAUCAACCCCUCUCUUUUGAGUUGUGGGUUGGAUGUGGGGGGUUUGCUGGCCUUUUGGUCAGCUCCCCUGAAAUGCAUUAGCAGAACGACCUGUUCAUUCAUUGGUGUAAUAACUAUCUACGCCGUUGAGUGCUAGGGCAGUUCAGCUUCCUAACAGUCCUCGGACAGUUUAUCAAUUUAUGUGACCUCAAAUCAGGUAGGACUACCCGCUGAACUUAAGCAUAUCAAUAAGCGGAGGA
rnacentral:misc_RNA from 1 species